rnacentral:rRNA from 1 species
CGAACGCUGGCGGCAGGCCUAAUACAUGCAAGUCGAACGGCUCUUCGGAGCAGUGGCGGACGGGUGAGUAACGCGUGGGAAUGUGCCCUUUGGUACGGAACAACACAGGGAAACUUGUGCUAAUACCGUAUGUGCCCUUCGGGGGAAAGAUUUAUCGCCAUUGGAGCAGCCCGCGUUGGAUUAGGUAGUUGGUGAGGUAAAGGCUCACCAAGCCUACGAUCCAUAGCUGGUCUGAGCGGAUGACCAGCCACACUGGGACUGAGACACGGCCCAGACUCCUACGGGAGGCAGCAGUAGGGAAUCUUGCGCAAUGGGCGAAAGCCUGACGCAGCCAUGCCGCGUGUAUGAUGAAGGUCUUAGGAUUGUAAAAUACUUUCACCGGGGAAGAAAAUGACGGUACCCGGAGAAGAAGCCCCGGCUAACUUCGUGCCAGCAGCCGCCGCAGUAA